UACGUAGGGGGCAAGCGUUUGUCCGGAAUCAUUGGGCGUAAAGAGCGUGUAGGCGGCUCGGUAAGUCCGUUCUGAAAGUCCAGGGCUCAACCCUGGGAUGCGGAUGGAUACUGCCGUGCUUGAGGACUGGAGAGGAGACUGGAAUUUACGGUGUAGCGGUGAAAUGCGUAGAUAUCGUAAGGAAGACCAGUGGCGAAGGCGGGUCUCUGGACA
rnacentral:rRNA from 1 species